GAUGAACGCUGGCGGCGUGCCUAAUACAUGCAAGUCGAGCGAACAGACGAGGAGCUUGCUCCUCUGACGUUAGCGGCGGACGGGUGAGUAACACGUGGAUAACCUACCUAUAAGACUGGGAUAACUUCGGGAAACCGGAGCUAAUACCGGAUAAUAUAUUGAACCGCAUGGUUCAAUAGUGACAGACGGUUUUGCUGUCACUUAUAGAUGGAUCCGCGCCGCAUUAGCUAGUUGGUAAGGUAACGGCUUACCAAGGCCACGAUGCGUAGCCGACCUGAGAGGGUGUACGGCCACACUGGAACUGAGCCACGGUCCAGACUCCUACGGGAGGCAGCGGUAGGGAAUCUUCCGAGAUGGGCGAAAGCCUGACGGAGCAACGCCGCGUGAGUGAUGAAGGGCUUCGGAUCGGAAAACGCUGUUAGUAGUGAAGAACAAAUGUGUAAGUAACGAUGCACGUCUUGACGGUACCUAAUCAGAAAGCCACGGCUAACUACGUG
rnacentral:rRNA from 1 species